rnacentral:tRNA from 1 species
AACGAGAUAGUUCAAUAAGGUAGAACAGUAGAAUCAUAAUCUAAAUGUUAUAGGUUCGAAUCCUAUUCUCGUUA